AUUGAACGCUGGCGGCAGGCCUAACACAUGCAAGUCGAGCGGAUGAAGGGAGCUUGCUCCUGGAUUCAGCGGCGGACGGGUGAGUAAUGCCUAGGAAUCUGCCUGGUAGUUGGGGAUAACGUCCGGAAACGGGCGCUAAUACCGCAUACGUCCUGAGGUAGAAAGUGGGGGAUCUUCGGACCUCACGCUAUCAGAUGAGCCUAGGUCGGAUUAGCUAGUUGGUGGGGUAAAGGCCUACCAAGGCGACGAUCCAUAACUGGUCUGAGAGGAUGAUCAGUCACACUGGAACUGAGACACGGUCCAGACUCCUACGGGAGGCAGCAGUGGGGAAUAUUGGACAAAGGGCGAAAGCCUGAUCCAGCCAUGCCGCGUGUGUGAAGAAGGUCUUCGGAUUGUAAAGCACUUUAAGUUGGGAGGAAGGGCAGUAAGUUAAUACCUUGCUGUCUUGACGUUACCAACAGAAUAAGCACCGGCUAACUUCGUG
rnacentral:rRNA from 1 species